AACGAACGCUGGCGGCAGGCCUAACACAUGCAAGUCGAACGCCCGUAGCAAUACGGGAGUGGCAGACGGGUGAGUAACGCGUGGGAACGUGCCCUUCGGUUCGGAAUAACUCAGGGAAACUUGAGCUAAUACCGGAUACGUCCGUAAGGAGAAAGAUUUAUCGCCGAAGGAUCGGCCCGCGUCGGAUUAGCUAGUUGGUGAGGUAACGGCCCACCAAGGCGACGAUCCGUAGCUGGUCUGAGAGGAUGAUCAGCCACACUGGGACGUGAGACACGGCCCAGACUCCUACGGAGGCAGCAGUGGGGAAUAUUGGACAAUGGGCGAAAGCCUGAUCCAGCCAUGCCGCGUGAGUGAAGAAGGCCUUAGGGUUGUAAAGC
rnacentral:rRNA from 1 species